GGUGGCGCAGUGGUAGCGCAGUGGACUGUUAAUCCAUGUGUCGCUGGUUCGAAUCCAGCC
rnacentral:tRNA from 1 species